GGGUCCAUAGCUCCGUGGUAGAGCAUUUGACUGCAGAACAAGAGGUCAACGGUUGGAAACCGGUUGGGACCU
rnacentral:tRNA from 1 species